AUUCUCCUUCGAUCUGAGAAAUACACUGCGCCUUCACUGCUGCACCUUCGCCUCCAUUCUCCUCCGUCGCUGCUGGGCCUUCUCCUCCAUUCUCCUUCGUCGCUGCUGCGCCUUCGCCUCCAUCGCUGCGGAUCGUUUUGCAUCUGUUGGGGCCUUUGCGUGGGUUUGCGUUGCCUUUGCUGCGCCUCCAUUGUUUUGCUGCGUCUCUUGGAGGUCUGCUGCCUAGCAAAUCUGAGAAACGAUUUGGGUUCAAAGUUUUUCAUUUAAGAAGCAAGUGAAGAUUGUUAUUGCAACCAUGACUCUUCAUAAUUAUAUACGAAGACAUGCGAAUCAUGAUAGGCAUUUUGACAUUGACAAAAAUUCGAUUGGCAUAUCAAGUGAUGUGAUGGAGAUGGAUGAUGCAGAAGAAAAAAAUCAUGGUCAUGUUGCACAAGAAAUGGAAGCAAUAAGAAAAGAAAUUGCUCAAAGUUUGAUGAGAGCACGUGGGACCGUAAAUUUUUAUAUGUGUCAAGAUAUUUUUGUUUGUUACUUGAUACAUAUGAACAAAGUAUUUUGAUAUGUUGGUAUCAUGAAUGUUUUGAUGUGUUAAACAAUCUUUUGUUACUACUUUAUGUUACUUUAAGACAUGGUUUGCAGGUUAUUAAUG